AAGUCGUAACAAGGUUUCCGUAGGUGAACCUGCGGAAGGAUCAUUACAGUGUUCCCUGCCCUUCGGGGUAGGAUCGCCACCCUUGAAUAAAUUACCUUUGUUGCUUUGGCGGGCCGCCUGGUGCCAGCGGCUUCGGCUGUUGCGUGCCCGCCAGAGGACCACAACUCUUGUUUUUAGUGAUGUCUGAGUACUAUAUAAUAGUUAAAACUUUCAACAACGGAUCUCUUGGUUCUG
rnacentral:misc_RNA from 1 species